GACGUAGGGCGCGAGCGUUGUCCGGAUUUAUUGGGCGUAAAGAGCUCGUAGGUGGUUUGGUAAGUCGGAUGUGAAAUCUCCAGGCUCAACCUGGAGGGGUCAUUCGAUACUGCCAUGACUAGAGGUCGGUAGGGGAGUGUGGAAGUUCCUGGUGGAGCGGUGAAAUGACGCAGAUAUCAGGAGGAACACCCGUAGCGAAGGCGGCACUCUGGGCCGAUUCUGACACUGAGGAGCGAAAGCGUGGGGAGCGAACAGG
rnacentral:rRNA from 1 species